GACGAACGCUGGCGGCGUGCUUAACACAUGCAAGUCGAACGGAAAGGCCCUGCGUUUGUGGGGUUCUCGAGUGGCGAACGGGUGAGUAACACGUGAGUAACCUGCCCUUGACUUUGGGAUAACUUCAGGAAACUGGGGCUAAUACCGGAUAGGAGCUCCUGCUGCAUGGUGGGGGUUGGAAAGUUUCGGCGGUUGGGGAUGGACUCGCGGCUUAUCAGCUUGUUGGUGGGGUAGUGGCUUACCAAGGCUUUGACGGGUAGCCGGCCUGAGAGGGUGACCGGCGACAUUGGGACUGAGAUACGGCCCAGACUCCUACGGGAGGCAGCAGUGGGGAAUCUUGCACAAUGGGCGGAAGCCUGAUGCAGCAACGCCGCGUGCGGGAUGACGGCCUUCGGGUUGUAAACCGCUUUCGCCUGUGACGAAGCGUGAGUGACGGUAAUGGGUAAAGAAGCACCGGCUAACUACGUG
rnacentral:rRNA from 1 species